UACGUAGGGUGCAAGCGUUAAUCGGAAUUACUGGGCGUAAAGCGUGCGCAGGCGGAUGCAUAAGUCAGACGUGAAAGCCCCGGGCUUAACCUGGGAACGGCGUUUGAAACUGUGCGUCUAGAGUGCGUCAGAGGGGGGUGGAAUUCCACGUGUAGCAGUGAAAUGCGUAGAGAUGUGGAGGAACACCGAUGGCGAAGGCAGCCCCCUGGGAUGACACUGACGCUCAUGCACGAAAGCGUGGGGAGCAAACAGG
rnacentral:rRNA from 1 species